rnacentral:lncRNA from 1 species
CUUUCACAGGAGUGAGUAAUGACCACGUGCGUAUCAAGGCAGUAGCCCUGAAGAUAACCUGCAAAAAAUGAAUAUCGCGUUGUUUGUUAAACACUAAGUCAUUUCUGCAAUUCCAUGCAGCCCAAAAUAGUGCACAUGAUCCUACACGAAUAAGUUUAGCAGUUUGAACAUUAACCCCCUGUAACCACGUACCAAAUAACGUGUUUAUACUAUUAGGGGGAUUGAUGUUGAAAGUAAUGUGAAGCGAGCGCCAUAAAAGUUUAGCCAUGGGACAAUCGAGAAAGAGGUGAUUAAUAGUUUCUUUAUCCUGGCAAAAGUUGCAUCUCGGAUUGCCUUUCUAAAUACGUUUGAUCAGAUUAUCCUUCAUUAGAAUAACCUUUUUGUGAACACAUAUGUUUUUUGAUGAUUAGGGAGGCAAAGCCUAGCCUCCGUGGUCCCAUUGAUUGAAACCAGAGCAAAACAGAGUCUUGUACAAACUGAACAUUCAGAGAAAAACCCUCAAAGAAGGCUAGGCUUGAAUUAUCGUCAAAGAAGGCUUUACCGACAAAGCAAAGUAAGAGCAUCUUCAACACUUCGAUGUAUUUUGGACACACGAAAAUUAAUUUAAAAAAUGAGACUUACCAGGACUAUCCCUUGGACCUUGGUGGUUUAGUUUUACUAACAAAAGGGCCCGUGCGUUGCAACAGGAGAAAAAAAUAGCACACGCUUUUAAUCUUUUUAUAAUCAUUUUGAUUUAUUAAAAUAAUAAGCUAACUAACUAAUGUAGUCAUUCAUAUCCUAUUUUGUUGAGAAAUCAACCCGUCCAUUGUUAAUUCCACCAUGAUGAGAAAUUGAGCGGGACAAGCAAAGCAAAACAAAGAGGCUACGUGAAUUGAUCAAUGGAAUGUUAUCUUAUUUCACUCAUGGGGUAGAGAAUGUGGGAUUAGAUGACAAACUGAAGGUGGUGUUCCAUUCUCUACCUCUACAACAAUACAAUCUUACAUUCAAUACAUUCAUUCAUCAACAAACAAAUCCCCACAAAACAAAAUUUCUUGCCGGUGCUUGGCACACGGUUGGAGGCAUGGGGAGGGGAUCUCACCAGAUGAUGAGUUCCUGCCGGAGGAGGGGAUAUGAUGAGGGGAGCAAGGGUUAGGCGCCUCUAUCUGGCCAUAAGGAGUCGUCGUGGCCGCGCCAUAACCUCGGAGCUCCCCGUGUGAGCCAUGGAGGCCCGCCUCCACCUGCAAGUACUUCGCUUCGCCGCGCCGCCGUCGUUCUGCAUCGAGCAGACGCAUCAUCCCCAGUCACUGUAGCUGUCGCGUUGAUUUGAUCCAGAAGCUGUACUCGAGUGCCGAAACGGGGGCAACAAGUGGGCAGAGGUACGGCCGCGGAGGCGGGUGGGUUGAGAUCGACAACAGUGGUGGUUGAGGUCGGCCGCGGCGGCGAGUGGUGUGGCAGCGGCCUGGGCACAGGCCAGGGUGGACCAUGGUUGACACGAUGCGCUCGAGCGCCGCAACGGGGACAGUGAGCGGGGAGAGGUACGGCCGCGGAGGCGGGUGGGUUCAGAUCGGCAGCGGUGGCGGUUGAGGUAGGCCGCGACGGCCAGUGGUGUGGCGGCGGCCUGGGCACAGAUCAGGGUGGCCGAGGGUCGACGGGAGGAGGCUAAGCGUACGGAUAUAAUUUUUGCAGCGAAUCGUUUUUUCUUUUUGCGUUGUAGAUAAAUAAUGAAAUGCGGGUUGAAUAACAAAAAUGUCGCGGUGAGUUUUCCGACGAAAGUAAUAGCCUUUUUAUUAUUCGGUAUAGAUAAAAGAAACUCAUGAGCACACAACACCGAGCCAAGACUCUGGGCUCGGAGCACAACCACUCCGCUAGCCACCCGAGCAACGCACGGUCCUCACAAAAAUUAGUUUGACAUCACUAAAAAAUGCAUUUUGCAUCAACGGACAAUUACGAGCUUAUUACGGGGUGAGUUUUUUUUUCUUCGAAAAGAAGGCUGAGCCCCGGCCUCUGCCUCGAGUAAUGCAUGCAACCAUAUAUUAAGUAAAAUCUCGGCGUACAUGAAAAGGUGCAGCAACAAGGUGCAAAAACAAAAGAUACAAGGCGAUCUUCGCGCCCAAACCGGGGAUGAUCGAAAGAUCUAGAUGACUAAACACUUAUCCUAUUAAUAUGACGUCACCAAAUCAGUUGAAGAUACCCUGUGCUACCAUCUCUCAUCGGACACACCCAGUAUCCAUAUGCUCCCUGGCUGCCACAAGAGUGAGUAAUGACCACGUGUGGAUCAGUGCAGUAGCCCUGAAGAUAACCUGCAGAAAGUGAAUAUCGCGUAAUCUGUUAAAAACUAAGUCAUUUCUGCUAUUCCAAAGAGCCCACAAAAGAGCACAUGAUCCGACACGAAUAAGUUUAGCAGACUUAACAUCAACUCCCUAUAACCAAGUCCCAAAUAACGAGUUAAUACUAUUGGAAGGAGUGAUGUUAAAAGCAACGUGAAGCGAGCACCAAACCAGUUUAGCCAUGGGACAAUCUAGAAAGAGGUGUUGAAUAGUUUCUACCCUCAGACAAAAGCUGCAUCUAGGAUUACCAUUCCAAUUUCGUUUGGCAAGAUUAUCCUUCAUAAAAAUAACCUCUUUGUGAACAAACCACAUGAAGACCUUGAUUCUAAAAGACUUUGAUCUUCCAUAUAUGCAUUGAUUUUGGCAUGGGUGUAGAAUCUAUGAGAUCUAAAUAUAUAGAUUUGACCGUGAAAACUCCACUAGAAGUUAACUUCCAAUAAACACGAUCUGGUCUGUCAGAGAGGUUAACAUCCAUCAACUUUCGGACAAGAUGCAACCAGGUAAUCCAUCUAUCAUCCACUAAGGAUCUACGAAAUUGAAUAUUUAGAGGUAUCUCGCGCAGUAUUGAAGCAACAUACACUUGUCGAUGUUGGGCAAUAUGGUACAGCUGAGGUAUUGAUAGGGGGUGAGUUUGAGAUGUCAAUUUGUGAUUAUCACUUGUUGGGUGCCCUCCUUGACAGAGAGUUCCGAUACGAAAGCAACUGAUAUGAGUGGCGUAUGUGGUGAUCAUCUCAUCUGGCACAAGAAAAACGACAACUUGCUGCACUCUCUCUCUCUCUCUCUCUCUUGUACAGUAGCCGUGUUAGUUAGCUUUGCCAUGGCGGCCACCACCAUCCUGCCCCUCCUCCUGCUGCUGCUGCUCACAUCGACACCGUCUCUGCUACUUCCGGUGGCCGCCGACGACUUCUGCGACAACGUCAAGGCCGUGGCAGCCAUCCUCUCCAAGAACGCCUCGGCUUCCCCGGUGCACUUCGCCAGCGCCACCUACGGCCAGGCCCCCGACGCGGUCUCCGCGCUCGCGCUCUGCGGCGGCGACAUCCUCGACGGCUCCGCCUGCGCCGGCUGCAUCACCAACUGGUUCGCCAACCAGGCGCUCAACCUGACGCAGUGCGCCAGGGUCGGCUCCAACUACCGGGACUGCAUCAUCGCCUACGGCGGCGCCGCCGACAACAUCCUCGCCGCGCCCUCCAACGCCACGGGAGGCUCCGGCGACAACACGCCGCCCUUCGAGGCCUGGAGCGCCAGGAACGUCUCGGUCUCGGGCGCCGCCGGCGCCGCCCCCCUCGUCGUCGGCCUCACCCGCGACCUGCUGGCGGCGACCGCGGAGAAGGCGGCCGUCGUGGCUCCCAGCCGGUACGCCACCGGCGUCAUGGACAUGGAGAGCGUGGCGGCGUACCCGAGGGUCUACUCGCAGGCGCGGUGCACGCCGGACCUGCCCGCCGACGAGUGCUCCGCGUGCCUGCGCCGUCUCCUCGGCAUGGUCAACUCCACCAUGUCCAUGCGCAUGGGCGGGCAGAUGGGUGUCACCCGCUGUUAUUUCAGGUACGACGCGUUUCAGUUCUACUCCGGCACACCACUGCUAAGUCUGCCGGCGACGGUGCCGGCGGCAGCUCUCAACAACAAACGCAGGAGCAUGUUGUGGGUGAUUCCCGUGGUUGUAGUUCCUCUAGCUGCAGCUGCAUUUCUCCUCUUCAUCUGUUACCAUCGUCGAAGAAAAGGUACGCUAGCUAAUUAUUUACUCAUACUGUACUGUUUACAAUUAAUUAGUGGUAAUUAUUAAUGUUACUGAGUAUGUUAUUUAAUUAUGCUAAAUAAUAAUGUUGCACAAGCUAGGCUCAAGAUAUGCAAGGAGGAAGAAGCAUGGGGAAAACUCGGAGUUCUCUUUGUUUGGCUUUGCAGAGCUACUCGAGGCUACAAGUAACUUCUCAGAGGAAAACAAACUUGGAGAAGGUGGCUUUGGCACCGUCUACAAGGUAAAUUAAUAGUAGGGUUUUCAUCUUUUAUGCCUUUUCCUCUUAAAGUAAGUGUCAUAAAUUUAGUAUUUCCUCCGUCUUAAAAUAAGUGUCUCAACUUUAUAGUAUAAAUUUAGUAUUACUAUCUCUAGUAUAAAGUUGUAUUAUAUUUAAAACAAUUAUUUUAAAACAAAGAGAGUAUUAAAUUAGUAUAAAUUUAGUAUUAAAGCAUCGAUACUUAUUUUGAAAUGAAGGGAGUAUAUUGUGGCCUAUUUAGAAGUCAAAUAUACUUUGUAGUACGAAAACAAGCCUAUCUACAUUGAGUCUGUAGCUGAUAACUUCUGGUACUCCCUCCCAUCCAAAUUAACUGACGAGCUGAGAAGAGCCUAACUUUUGAUUAGAUAAUCUUUUUCUCAGGGCCAGCUUUCAGAAGGGUUGGAGAUAGCGGUUAAAAGACUUGCUUCACAUUCUGGACAGGGCUUCAUAGAGUUUCAAAAUGAACUCCAGCUCGUAGCCAAACUCCAGCACUUGAAUCUGGUUAGGCUCUUGGGAUGUUGUUCUCAAGAGGAGGAGAAAAUACUGGUCUAUGAAUACUUGCCCAACAAAAGCCUGGACUACUUCAUCUUUGGUAUGCAUUUGCACUUCUUCAUUUACUUUAAUUAUUGUUUCCACACAUCAAAGCGGCUAAAUAUUACCCAACACUUUGUUUCUGUCAGCCCGUGGGUAUCUUCAUGCAUUCCCUUGUUAAUCUAACUCUACAAUUUAUUCUCAUUUUUCUAGCUAGGUGUUUUUUUUAUCCUGGCAUGUUAUAUUAAUAUCUAAUUGUUGCAUGCGUAGAUGAGGAUAAAAGGUCUUUACUGGAUUGGUCAAAACUUGUAGCAAUAAUUGAGGGAAUAGCACAUGGACUUCUUUACCUGCAUAAGCACUCCCGGUUGCUUGUUAUACAUCGAGAUCUUAAGCCGAGCAAUAUUCUCCUGGACAGCGAAAUGAAUCCAAAAAUUUCAGAUUUCGGGCUAGCAAAAAUAUUCAGCUCAAAUGACACCGAAGGAAACAUUACAAGAAGAGUGAUUGGCACAUAGUAAGUUUCGCAUAGCAAUUAUACAUAUUACAAUUCAACCAUAAAAAGUAGUCUUGACAUGCAUCAUAUACCAUUUUUUAGUGGUUACAUGGCCCCUGAGUAUGCUUCGAAGGGCAUCUUCUCUAUUAAAUCCGAUGUCUUUAGCUUUGGUGUAAUCAUUUUGGAGAUUCUUAGCGGAAAACAGAAUUCUGGUCAGCAACAAUGUGGAGAAUUCAUCAAUCUGCUUGGACAUGUGAGCUUAUACAUGCAAACUUAAGCUUGUAAAAUUGUACUUUUCAUUUGCUACGUAAUCUAAUUUGUGUAAUGGAAUUGCAAAUAGGCAUGGCAAUUAUGGGAAGAUGGAAAGUGGUUUGAUCUCGUUGAUUCAUCAUUUGUUCCCCAUAGUCACUCGGCAAAGAUGAUGAGGUGGAUUAACAUAGCAUUGUUGUGUGUACAAGAGAAUCCAGCCGAUCGACCAACUAUGGGAGAUGUUGUUUCAAUGCUAAGCAGUGAGACUAUGAUCUUGGAUGAUCCUAAGCAGCCAGCAUAUAUCAAUGUAAGAGUGGGAAAUGAAGAUGAGUCCACUGCUCCCCAGUCAGAUAGUACUAAUGAUAUGACCAUGUCUGUCACAACUCCAAGAUAGGUUUCCCUUGGUGUUAUGUUUUUCAUUGUAAUGUUGUGGUAUUCACAAAACUUAGAUGUCAUAUGAUGCGUAUGUUUAAGUGUCAUUUCAAAUGUGAGAUUGUGUACCCUAAAGAGUGUAAAGAAGGUUUCCAAACUAGUUAGAAUACAUACUUAGCUAUUUUUUCCAUACCUUUGAUUCGCCUUUCCUUUUUAAAUUUUGCAAGAAAAUUACCUAACAGUAUAUGUUCAUGUAGUGUUUGAUUAGCUCUUGUUAUCAUGUUAGGGCGGAGGCCCGGUGUAAUUUGUGUAACCUUGAUAUUAAGGUAUUGCUCUAUAAAAAAAGUGCAGUGUAGUAUAUGUUUGUACCUUUUUUGUCCCACAUAGGAACAUAUUUUGCAUGGUAAUAUACAGAAUAAUCCACAACAAUGGAUUAUCCCAAAUGUGGUUCAAUUCUAUUAAGCCGUUUUAGGAAUUGGUUGGAUAUCUUCAAAGAAAUUACGACUACAAUAUCUAGACUGUAUCUACCAGAAAAUUACAAACUACAAUGUCUAGAGUGGAUGGUGCCAAGGAGAGGAGGUGUCAUCAAAAAUAGCUCAAUCGGCCCCCAACCCGUCACGUGUGGGGUGCCGACGUGGUAGCAUUGGUGAAUGAGGAGAUCUCAUGUUGUAGGAUUAGGUUAGUAUCACCAAAGAGGGGGUAGUAGUCAUGGUCAUGGCCAUGUCGAGCAAGUCAUCAGGAUACAAGGAUAUAGUCCUAUUCAUUCAUUGAAAAAGACUUUCCUCCCGUUUUAUAUAUAAAACAACCAACAGAUCCAUAAAGUCUCUAGUCUCGCUGCACUUGCAUCCCCCGCGUCGCCUCCCUGGCGGCUCGGGGGGAAAAUGUUGGCGAACGUCGCAUGGAAAACAAAAAUUUUCCUACGCGCACGAAGACCUAUCAUGGUGAUGUCCAUCUACGAAAGGGGAUUUUCGAUCUACGUACCCUUGUAGAUCGCUCAACAGAAGCGUUAAGAAACGCGGUUGAUGUAGUGGAACGUCCUCACGUCCCUCGAUCCGUCCCGCGAACUGUCCCACGAACCGUCCCGCGAUCCGUCCCACGAUCCGCUCUGAUAUAGUCUCUGAUAUAGUCUCGCCGCACUUGCAUCCCCCGCGUCGCCUCCCUGGCGGCUCGGGGGAAAAAACCCUAGCCUCCGCGAUUCAUCUCACUUCCCUUCUAGUCUCAUCGUUGUCGGAGGGGGCCUCCUGGCAAAGGUCGGGCCGACCCCGAGGAGGGUGGCGGCAGGGUACUUGUCCUUGUGGUGGCGCGGGCGCGCGUGGCACUUGGCACGACAGCUUGGAGCUGCGGGCGGCGGCGGCCACCGCCACGGGAUGGGCACAACGGCGCUCUGGAUCGUGGUGCAUGACGCCGGUGCGGCCUGGGCGUUAUCCCAGCCCGACGGCCUUGACUGGGACAUCCGACUUUAGAUGUUAGGAUUUGGUGCGAUGUAUGUUUGUUGUUAGGCUUGGACAUUCGGCACCACGUCAUCAAGGGGACUGGACUAGCGACAGGUGUUGUCAAGAUGAUGGUUUCAGGCUUACUGAUGUAUUGCUUUGUAAGGUCUUUAUGAAUAAUUAAUAAAAUGAUUGCAUGCAUCGUCCGGAUGCAAAGGCCCGGGGUACACCUUCUUUUCCAAAAAAAAUAAGAGCCACAGAGUCAUAACAAAGUACACGCCACACAUAGGAAUGGCAAUGGGUACCCAUUAUCUACGUACCCUGCGGGUAAAACCCCUAUUAGGGUAAGGGUAUGUGAAUUUUUCGUACCCAUGGGUUUAUAAAUAGGAAAAUCUGAAACCCAUCUGGUAGAGCGGGUAUGGGUAUGAGAUCAUAUAACACAUACCCACAUACCCAUGUACCCAUAUAAAAUCUUUGUAAACUCAAUAUUAUCUCUACAAUCUACAAUAUGUCAAGAGUUUUUGAAACGAAAAUGUAUGACUAUGUGUUGUUGUUUAUGACUAUAUUAUGUUGUUUAUAAGUAUAUGUUGUUGUUAUAAUCUAUUUUUUGUAAACUAUGACUAUAUGUUGUUGUUUAUGACUAUAAGUUGCUCGCCUUAUUGAUUUGUAAAUAUGGGUAAUUUUAUCCGCGGUUAGCCAUCUAUCCUGUCAGGUAACGGAUGUGUAAAAAAAUUAUACCCGUUAACAUAUAUAAAUAAGAUGAUGGGUAAGCUUGAGGGGCGGGUAAGGAUACGGGAUGGUUCCACCCUUACUCAUAUAUAUCCUACGAAUGCCAUCCCUAACCACACACAGAGUAGUAAAAGAAACGAGUCCUAUUCUUUUUAAUAGGAUUCACUCUACAGAGACAAAAUAAGAUUCUCUCUACAAAGUAAACAAGGACAAAUUAAUCAUCAGAUCCCCCAAAAUUAUGCUAACCCACUCACCAAGAUCCGGCGGCUCAGCUGGUCUUGGAGAGUUGGAAGGUGGGAGGGUGGACUGGAGACCGGACGUACAGCAACUUGGAUGGUGAUCAGAUCACUUGUGCAGUAAACGACGAUCAGACCCAAGAAAAGAAAAGAAAAACAUCCCGACAUCUCGCUUUGGAAGAUAAUGCAUGCAGUACGUACUUGAUAAGUAGAUAUAGUAUAGUGACAGACCACUUGUGCUGUAAACGACGAUGACCCAACCAAGACCCGUGCAUAUAGCAGCUGCUCAAGUCAGUCUUCUGGCCAUAUUAAAUAGUGCACUAAUAUUGUAAUACAUAGAAGCAUUACAACUGGACCCUUCGAAUGAUCCCUCCUACGUCUACAGACGUGUCCGAUUAGUGACCGGAUAUAAAAGAAAAAAAAUGAUCCAACCGGAUCACUCAUAUUAUUCAUAUAUGUUCGGGUUAUCUGUGAGCCCUCAUAUUCAUCUCAAAUAUGGGAGAAUAUGAGGGCUCGCGAACACGCCCGGACGUGCCCGAUCAGUGUGCCACAUAGGACGCGGUCUCAUCUCAGACCAUCUUUUUUUCUUUAUUCAUUUUUUUUUGUUUCUCUUUCUUUCUCUCUAAUAAUCACAUGGAAGUGACCAGACAUAUAAAAAAAAUGAAAAAUAUGGCUACACGAACGGAUAAAUAAAGGACAGACGUGUCCAUAAAUAUUUGAAGGGUCGGAUUUGCAAGGUCUGUACGGUAGAGGCUUUAAACAUAUUAUAGUCAUCACUAGUUGGCCGCCCAUGCGUGCCAUGAGGCAAAUCAGUGGUAGCGCCGCAGUUUCCAGCGUGUCAACUUGUCAAUUGGCAUCUCACCGUAUCUAAUUUAUACUCCUUGUUUAUGUCUCUCAACGAAAAAGAUCAUACUGUAGUGUACUUGGACCAACUUUCAACUUUAUGUGAGGACUAGAUAUUUUGCAAGGCAUUAUUGCCGAACGCGUGCGUGCGUGCGUGCAUGGAGGAAGAAUGGGUCGUCCCGGCAAAACAUAGACUAGAGUUGACUGACUUCAAAUGCUAAGAGCAACUCCAGCCGAUGACCCAUUUCGUUCUUUGGAUCACCGCCCUCAAAAAGAUGGUUCAAUACAAAGACUUAUUUUUAUUUUGUGUCCGCUCUAUGUUUGCUCGGAUUUAUUUCUGUCUCAAAUUUGAUCCACAUUUAGGUCUCGGACGGACAUAAAACGAACAUUUUCUGCUUCUUCUUCGUCCGCCUCAAUCCGCUGCAUGUGUCGCAUGACCCAGCUGCCAUUGAACGCACUACAUUACCCACAUAAAAAAGGGAUAAAUAUGUCCGCUAGACCGACCCAAAUGAACAAAAGUUGAUGUCCGUUUGGGUUUUUGCGUUGGAGUUGCUCUAAACCUAUCAACUUCAGUCUUACCACUUGAGAAAUUAGGCUCUAUAUGUAUUUCCUUCAUCUUGAAUCAGUCGUUAACUCGAGAUACGUUCUUUUAAGCAUCAAGAGUUAAUAAUUACAACGAAAGUUCAGUGAAAUUUCGCAUAUUUCAGUGGGGUCCAAAAUAUUUUGAAACCCAAAAUUUUGAUGCGGAUUUAAACCGAUUUCAAAAUAAAUUUAAACUAUGUUAGAAUACAUUAAAAUUGAGUAAAGUUUAAAAUAUCAAAACCCAAAAUAAAUUUCGCAUAUUUCAAUGACGUCCGAAAUAUUGUGUUUCCGAAGUUAAAAACCUUGGCAUCAACUAGUUGCAAUUGGAGGGGGUAGCAGCUUAUUCAUAUGCCUAAUUGCUACCUAAUUAAGAUGCUUGUGCGAUAUGAAUCAACUUCUCUUCUUGUCCAAAGCAAUGGCCUUUUGAAAGCAACGGCCAACAAACUACAUAGACUUUCUUCACAUUCUUCCAAGUAAUAAUGCACUGCAUUUCCAUGGCCACCUGAAAGCAACAUUUCUUUUCCGAAACAUGCACGUACGGUUAUUAGUCAUUACCAAUCAUACCGGACAAAGACCGGUAAAUAUAUAGAUAUUCAAAAAAUCACUAUUUCUUUGCAUUUUUCCAAGUGAAAGCAAAGCAACGACAAAGAAACAAAAAAUAAUCAGGCCGGGCAGGCAGAAGGCUAAUUUGUUGCAACGUUCGUUAUUGACUCUUGGAAAGACCAGCCGGCAAAUAAAUAAUCACGUAUGGUGUUGGUCCUCUCAAUCUCAAUCCCACGUACGGUUAGCAGCAUGACGGGCGUGCUGCUGCUGCUCCUCGUCCUCCUCAUGCCGGCGUCGGCAACGGCGAUCGGGAUCACCUGCGGCAGCGGCCGCAACAACACGGCCAACACCACCUUCCAGUCCAGCCUCGCCGUGCUGUCCGCCACCCUCCCUGCCAACGCCUCCUCCUCCCCGCAGCUCUUCGCCACCGCCACCGCCGGCGUGGUGCGCGCGCUCGCACUCUGCCGCCGCGACACCGUCAACACCACCGCGUGCGCAGACUGCCUCGCCUCCUCCUUCAAGUACGCGCAGAAGAUGUGCCCGAACCGCAAGACCGGCGCCACCGUCUACUACGACUACGACGAGGUGAACGCCCUGCAGCCAGGCUGCAUCCUCGGCUUCUCCGGUGACGCCGGCUUCCUCGGCCCGGCGACGAGUACCACAGGGAACGUCACCUUCUUCCAGUACUGGAACCCGGUGAGCCUCCCCGGCAACGCCCGCGUCAUCGCCGCUGCCGUCCGCGAGCUCCUCAACGAGACGGCACGCGACGCUGCCGCCGCUCCGAGGGGUUUUGCCACGGCCUUCAUGGACUCCAUUGGCGGCGCCGCCCCGACGCUCUACUCCCUGGCGCAAUGCACGCCGGACCUGUCCGCCCGCGACUGCCUGGCGUGCCUCCGGCGGCUCGUCGGCGCGGUCAACGCCACAUACUCCGUGCGCAUGGGAGGACGGAUGUUCGUGCUCCGCUGCAACAUCAGGUUCGAGGCAUUUAUGUUCUACGAUGACAAGAACAUGCGGCGGAUCCCAUUUUCAUCUCCAUCAUCCAUGGCUCCGGCACCGGCGCCGGCCCCCACAGGCAAGAUAUAUAUAUAUAUAAUAUGCCGACGAUCCAUAUAUGAAAAAACGUACUCUUGGCUAAUUGGUUGGCAUGUUAUUACUAUGAAUUACAUAUGUUAAUUAUUUCGUCCAUGUAUGUUUAAUUAUGAAGGACAUGGAGUCAGACCUUGGGUAAUAGCCUUAUCGGUAGCUGCUCCUGUAGCACUGGUUGCUCUCUGCUGCUUCAUCAUUUGCUGUUGUCGCCUUAGAAAAAGGCAAACAAAAAAAGGUGGGUAAAUUAGCUAGUUACUGAAAUUCUCAAUAAAAAUAUAAUAAAGAGUACACAUAAGUAGAGAGAUCGAUAUUGAUAGUGCAAGUUAACAAUUUUCAGGUAAAGUUGCCUUACAGGAAAAAAGUAGUCACCAAUUUCAAGGAGAUGAACUAGUUUGGGAAAUGGAAGCAGAGUUGUCUGAAUUUUCAGUAUAUGAGUUUCAUCAGAUAUUAGAGGCUACAGAUAACUUUUCUGAGGAAAACAAACUUGGAGAAGGUGGAUUUGGCCCAGUUUAUAAGGUAAAUUUAUAAAACCAUGCAUUGUGUGUACUGAAAAGCAACCCGGGUUAAUUGUUGCAUAUAUUGAUACAAUAUAUUUAUUUUUCCCAGGGCCACUUUCCUGAGGGAAUAGAGAUAGCAGUUAAGAGACUUGAUUCAGAUUCAGAUCAAGGUUUCAUAGAGUUCAAAAAUGAAGUUGAGCUCAUAGCCAAACUUCAACACAGAAAUUUGGUUAGGCUCAUGGGAUGUUGCUCUCAAGGAGAGGAGAAAGUAUUGGUUUAUGAAUACUUGCCAAACAAAAGCUUGGACUUCUUCAUCUUUGGUACAUAUAUAUUUGCAUUUUCAGACCCACAUGCUAGAUAUUGUCUGUCAUAAUGCUACACUAUUUUUUUACUCAAAUGGUGAUUUACAUGCUUCUUCCUCUGCUAUACUAACAUUUAAUUCACAUGCAGAUGAAGAUAGAAAAGUUCUACUGGAUUGGGAGAAACGUCUUGUCAUAAUUGUAGGAAUAGCAGAAGGACUUCUUUACCUACAUAAGCACUCUAGGUUGCGUGUUAUACAUCGGGAUCUCAAACCAAGCAACAUUCUUUUGGAUAGCACAAUGAAUGCUAAAAUUUCAGAUUUUGGACUAGCAAAAAUAUUUAGCUCAAAUAACAACGAAGGAAAUAAAACGAGAAAGGUGGUUGGCACAUAGUAAGUUUCCUCUGAAUUACUUCACAUAUGAUUAUUUUUAUUAUAACUCAACCAUAUAUUAAUUGGACAUACAUUGUUACUUUAUUUUAGUGGCUACAUGGCACCAGAGUAUGCUUCCCAUGGCCUCUUCUCUGUCAAAUCAGAUGUAUUCAGCUUUGGUGUUCUAGUUCUAGAGAUCAUUAGCGGGAAAAAGAAUUCCCAUGAGUGUGGAGCUUUCAUCAACCUCAUUGGAUAUGUGAGUGCAUAUUUACACAUCCACAUAACAAGAUAAUAUUAUUUAUUUAUGAUGUUUCCCACCUAAUUAAUUGAUGAAAUUUAAAACAGGCUUGGCAAUUAUUUGAAGAGGAAAGAUGGACCGAAAUCGUUGAUGCGGCAUUGGUUCCCAACGGUCAUUCGUCAGAAAUGAUGAGGUCUAUCAACAUUGCAUUGUUGUGUGUACAAGAAGAUGCAAUUGAUCGACCGACCAUGUUGGAUGUUGUUGCAAUGCUAAGCAGCAAGACUAUGAUCUUAAAUAAGCCUAAGCACCCAGCAUAUUACAGUAUAAGUGUAGGCAACAACGAAGCAGCAACUGCUGCUAAGUCUUCUAGUUUUAAUGAUGUGACUAUAUCUACGAUAACUCCUAGAUAGUUUAUCUUAGCAUAAAUUUUAUUUUUAACUUGAUGUCAUAUAGUGCAUAAAUUCUAUGAAUUAUAUGUAGUGCAUAAGUUGUUAUUUGUAUCUUAAUUGUAAUGUAUUUUGGUGCCUAUGGAUGUCUUAGUCAAAGCCAUGUUUAUUUUACCGAUUCUGAAAUAACAGUAUGCACACUUUGGUGGCAUGGAUAUUUUAGUAGUUUUUAAUCUUUUAAAACAAUGUGGCUAGUGGAUCCAUGGAGAAAUUAUCAAAACAAAGUGAGUCAACUCUAGUCUAGGUUCGGGACGACCCAUUCUUACCCCAUGCAAUGCACGUGGCAAUAAUGUCUUGCAACAUGACAAGCUUAUCUAGUCCUCACCUAACGCUGCAACUUGAUGCAACAUGCAGUGCAUCCACGCACGGUGACAGCAAAGUUUUUCAAAAGCUGUUACAUAAACAAAGUAUAAUAUUAAUUAAAUACGGCAAGAUAAUUGACAAGUUGACAUGUUGGAACUGCCGUGCGACCACUGAUUUGCUUCACAACAUGCACGGCCGGCCAACUAAUGAUAAUUACUCCAUUCAUUACUAAAUAUAAGUCUUUUUAGUGGUUUAAUUAACAAACACAUACAGAUAUAUAUAUAGACAUAUUUUAAAGUAUAGGUUCAUUCAUUUUACUCCGUAUAUAGUCAUUAGUAAAAAAAAUAAAAAGACUUAUAUUUAAAAACGGAGAAAGUAUAAUUUAUCCUAAAUGGCCCUUAAGCAAGCUAAAUCCCAUUGAUGCCCACUGGAAAACUUUAAACCAGUUAUGGCCCUUUCCAGAAAUGCCAAUGGAUUGGCGGUUUUUGAACUACGUAGAAACGCCAAUCGCAUUAGAUUUUUUCAAAGGACACAAGGCGAUUUUGCAAAAAUCUUGGUUGAAAGAGCACCACGCAACUCAAAUAGCUGGACUGCACCGCUGGCAUAGUGCAGUACACUGAUGGACGGCCAGGCUUGACCUUGACUCAUGGGCUGACCGCUGUCAUGGCUAGAAGACUGACUACCAAUUCAUUGGUCUUGGGUCUAAACCACUAUAUAGCACGUACAACUUGUCUGCAUACCUUUCAAAGCCAGAUGUCAGGUGGAAUUAUUGUGGAACAACAUGAUAUGUCUUCACAUGGAUAUCCAAGUGGCAAGAAGGAAAUAUCUUUCACAAUCUAUUUCUUGGCAAGAAUUUAUUUAAAACAGUGUGGUGAAUUAUUGCGAACUGAAUGUUGGUGUCACUGUACUUUCUUUCCCUCUAUCAAUGGAAUGAUACACCCAGCGCGUAUUUGCGAAAAAAAAAAUGUUGCUGUCAAAAUAGUGUGGUGAAUUCAAUCGUAGGAAGCCAAUGGUGUAAGCAUUAAGCGUGGAAGAAAAAACAUAAAGGCAUAAGGCAGCAUCAUAUACACAUCAUGAACUUACUGUAGAAAGUAAUACAGCAAGAAUUCAAUGUGUAUGUGUCUUCGUUGAGCACUCUGCCUCGAUGCCUUAACCACCACCGGCACCAAUGUAGAUCUCUUCAGACAUUCAUCUGAGAUGAGGGACAUCAGUCCCUUCACUUCCAGUUGAGACAUUUGAAACCAAAUACAUGGGGACAUGUAGCAUAGUUGUAGCAUGAUGAACGCACAAAAUUAUCCCUGGUAUCAACCUUCUGCAGCAGAACCCGUUAGAUAAACUUCUUCAAAAAGACAGGUUAGUUCUAUUGGAGAAAUAAUUUUCAUCUGUGCAUAACUGCAUAUACUAGAUUGGAUGUGUGCACUAUGAACUUAUGAUAAACUUAAGACCAAUUAGCUAUCCAAAGCAAGACAAGAGAAGCAAAGGAGUACCAUAUUUUUCCCUUUUAUAGCGAUAAAAAAAUCUAGAUAAAAAUAUAUUUGAUUGUCUGCAAAUUCAGAUGAAAGUAUCUCAUUUUGCUUGAAAAGGCUAGCAUGGCAAAACAAAUAAUAAUAAAGAGCAGGUCAGGAGUUACAACAAUAACAAUAUCACAAACUUCUAUUAUAUAGAGCAGGCCAAGCAAAAGUUACGACUACAACAAUAUAAAGAACAUAAUACUAGAUAACAUGCAAAAUCAAGGUAUAAACAUUAAAGAAAGCAGCUCAUAAUUGAUGCAAAUCUGAAAACCAGCAGCUUUGAUGCUGGGCACUGAUGGAUAAUAUAUCUUCUUCUUCUAUUUCUAUGACAUGCAUAGCAAAUUGUACCAAUUUAAGGUUCAGUUCGACAGAUACAGAAGGAGAAAUGAUAAGACGAUAAAUUAGGAAAUACCUUAAGUUAGACAGGAGCAAGGAGGAGCAGCAGCUCAGCUCUGCAGUUGUGUGCCUGCGUGAGUAGGCGAAUAGCUAGCUCAACCAGCGGAGGCAGGUGCACAGCCCGGCGCAGGCAGGCAGGGGCAGAGGAUUGCACAACCGGUAAACAGAGGAACAACAGCCGGUCAAUCAAGAGGAAGCAAAUAAAAUAAAAGAGCUAUACAGAAGCAGGCAACUCGUUACUGGUUACAUGGAAAUGCU